rnacentral:rRNA from 1 species
UACGUAGGGACCAAGCGUUGUUCGGAUUUACUGGGCGUAAAGGGCGCGUAGGCGGCGUGGUAAGUCACUUGUGAAAUCUCUGAGCUUAACUCAGAACGGCCAAGUGAUACUGCUGUGCUCGAGUGUGGAAGGGGCAAUCGGAAUUCUUGGUGUAGCGGUGAAAUGCGUAGAUAUCAAGAGGAACACCUGAGGUGAAGACGGGUUGCUGGGCCAACACUGACACUGAGGCGCGAAAGCCAGGGGAGCAAACGGG